rnacentral:rRNA from 1 species
CCCCUAGAUGUUCUGGGCCGCACGCGCGCUACACUGAACAGUUCAACAAGUCUUAACCUUGGCCGAUAGGUCUGGGUAAUCUUUGAACGCUGUUCGUGAUUGGGAUAGACCUUUGCAAUUAUGGGUCUUCAACGAGGAAUUCCUAGUAACGCAAGUCAUCAGCUUGCAUUGAUUACGUCCCUGCCCUUUGUACACACCGCCCGCCGCACCUACCGAUUGAAUGGUCCGGUGAAAUCUCGGGACGGCGGCUUGGUCGCUUGCGUCCGACUGCUGAAACUUGAUUAAACCAUAUCAUUUAGAGGAAGGUGAAGUCGUAACA